rnacentral:rRNA from 1 species
CCUACGGGUGGCAGCAGUGGGGGAUAUUGGACAAUGGGGGAAACCCUGAUCCAGCGACGCCGCGUGAGUGAAGAAGUAUUUCGGUAUGUAAAGCUCUGUCAGCAGGGAAGAAAGAAAUGACGGUACCUGACCAAGAAGCCCCGGCUAACUACGUGCCAGCAGCCGCGGUAAUACGUAGGGGGCAAGCGUUAUCCGGAUUUACUGGGUGUAAAGGGAGCGUAGACGGCAGCGCAAGUCUGGAGUGAAAUGCCGGGGCCCAACCCCGGAACUGCUCUGGAAACUGUGAAGCUGGAGUGCAGGAGAGGUAAGCGGAAUACCUGGUGUAGCGGUGAAAUGCGUAGAUAUCAGGAGGAACACCGGCGGCGAAGGCGGCUUACUGGACUGUAACUGACGUUGAGGCUCGAAGGCGUGGGGAGCAAACAGGAUUAGAUACCCCUGUAGUC